AAACCGGAGGAAGGUGGGAUGACGUCAAGUCCUCAUGGCCCUUAUAGGUGGGGCUACACACGUCAUACAAUGGCCGGUACAAAGGGUCGCAAACCCGGCGAGGGGGAGCCAAUCCAUCAAAGCCGGUCGUAGUCCGGAUCGCAGUCUGCAACUCGACUGCGUGAAGUCGGAAUCGCUAGUAAUCGUGGAUCAGCAUGUCACGGUGAAUACGUUCCCGGGUCUU
rnacentral:rRNA from 1 species